rnacentral:rRNA from 1 species
UACGUAGGGGGCGAGCGUUGUCCGGAGUUACUGGGCGUAAAGAGCUUGUAGGCGGUCUGUCGCGUCUGCUGUGAAAAUCCGGGGCUCAACCCCGGACUUGCAGUGGGUACGGGCAGACUAGAGUGUGGUAGGGGAGACUGGAAUUCCUGGUGUAGCGGUGAAAUGCGCAGAUAUCAGGAGGAACACCGAUGGCGAAGGCAGGUCUCUGGGCCACUACUGACGCUGAGAAGCGAAAGCAUGGGGAGCGAACAGG